rnacentral:lncRNA from 1 species
GCAAAUGUAGCAUUUUUAUCUCAAAUUGAACCAAAAUGUAUUAACAAAGCAUCCCACUUUAAAGCUGUUAAAAUGAUUUUUAGAUACCUAAAAGGAACUCCUAAUCUAGGAUUAUGGUACCAAAAUCUAAAAAUCCUAAGGAGCUAAUAGUGCUUGCACAUCCAAAGAGUAGUACUAGCUUGCCCAUUUCAAGAAUCAAAAGUGG